AGCAGCCGCGGUAAUUCCAGCUCCAAUAGCGUAUAUUAAAGUUGUUGCAGUUAAAAAGCUCGUAGUUGAACUUCGGGGUUCACCCAUUGGUCAGGCUUAAUUGCCUGUACUGGUGAGAUGAGUCUCUACCUUCUGAGGAACUUUCAUGCCAUUUAUUUGGUGUGAUUGGAAAUCAGGACUGUUACUUUGAAAAAAUUAGAGUGUUUAAAGCAGGCUAACGUCUGAAUACAUUAGCAUGGAAUAAUGAAAUAGGACGGAUUGAUUCUAUUUCGUUGGUUUCUAGGGUCACCGUAAUGAUUAAUAGGGAUAGUUGGGGGCAUUAGUAUUCAAUUGUCAGAGGUGAAAUUCUUGGAUUUAUUGAAGACUAACUACUGCGAAAGCAUUUGCCAAGGAUGUUUUUCAUUAAUCAAGAACGAAAGUUAGGGGAUCGAAGACGAUCAGAUACCGUCGUAGUCUUAACCAUAAACUAUGCCGACUAGGGAUCGGACGCAGUUAAUUUUUCAUAAUGACGUGUUCGGCA
rnacentral:rRNA from 1 species